rnacentral:rRNA from 1 species
UACAGAGGUCUCGAGCGUUAGUCGGACUCAUUGGGCUUAAAGCGUACGUAGGCGGCUAUGCAGGCGUCGUGUGAAAGCCCUCGGCUCAACCGAGGAAUUGCACGGCGAACCGCAUGUCUUGAGACAAGUAGGGGCUGUCGGAACGAUAGGUGGAGUGGUGAAAUGCGUUGAUAUCUAUCGGAACGCCGAUGGGGAAAACAGACAGCUGGGCUUGUUCUGACGCUGAGGUACGAAAGCGUGGGGAGCGAACAGG